CUCUGCCACCAGUCAGCCCUAGAGUGGAUGAAGCAGCAGCAGCAGCAGCAGCAGCACGCCCACUCAACCCCACUCGCUCUACCCCAGUCAUGCUUAAAAGUAAAGGCACAUGUCAUCAUUAUUUUUCCUUAAUGCUAUUGUACAGUGGGUCUGCAGAAAGGCACCUCUGUGGUCACACUGGAGCUGAGCGAAGGCCUCAAGACGUGGAUUUCCCUGACAAGCAGGGAUUGACCAAGAGUGAAAGCCAGCCCUCUGAGAUCCUAGUAGACAGACAGACGACAGAUGCAACCAACAGAGAGACGCGUAGUGAAUACCAGGAUUUGGCGUGUGAAAACUACGCUGGACCACUCAACCAGACAUCAGGCUACAAAAGAAUAGUUCAUUUCUUUCAGAAAACCAGUUUUGAAACUACUGUACAGAAACCAAGCCAAAAGACUGCAAAUAAGGCUGCAACAGCUGAGAUAUAGCUCAGGGAUGCUUUAGAAAAAAGACCAACAUAUUGUAUCUUCCAACGUUAAUAUAAAUUGUUAGAUAAUUUUAAGAUAAUUCUGAGGAGAUAAUUAACAGGACAAGAGAGCAUAAAAAAACAUAUUUUUCUAGACAAACUCAUGUUGAUUUCUCUGUUUCAUCUUUACUUUCUUGUGAAUUAAAGGGGCUAUUGCUACAUA